GACGAACGCUGGCGGCGUGCCUAAUACAUGCAAGUAGAACGAGUUGCGAACGGGUGAGUAACGCGUGGUAACCUGCCUGCUGGAGGGGGAUAACUACUGGAAACGGUAGCUAAUACCGCAUACCAUCAGAUGUGCCCAGAUGGGAUUAGCUAGUUGGGGGGGUAACGGCUCACCAGGGCGACGAUCCCUGGCCGGUCUGAGAGGGUGACCAGCCACACUGGGACUGUGACACAGGCCAGAAUCCUACGGGAGGCAGCAGUGGGGAAUAUUGCACGAGGGGCGCGAGCCUGAUGCAGCCAGGCCGCGUGUACGAAGAAGGCCUUGGGGUUGUAAAGUACUUUCAGCGAGGAGGCGUUACCCGCGGGAGAAGCACCGGCUAACUCCGUGCCAGCAGCCGCGGUAAUUC
rnacentral:rRNA from 1 species